rnacentral:rRNA from 1 species
CCUACGGGAGGCAGCAGUGGGGAAUAUUGCGCAAUGGGCGAAAGCCUGACGCAGCGACGCCGCGUGAGGGAUGAAGGUCUUCGGAUCGUAAACCUCUGUCAGCAGGGAAGAACGGUCACUGUGCUAAUCAGCAGUGACUUGACGGUACCUGCAAAGGAAGCACCGGCUAACUCCGUGCCAGCAGCCGCGGUAAUACGGAGGGUGCGAGCGUUAAUCGGAAUUACUGGGCGUAAAGCGCUCGUAGGCGGUAUGUCAAGUCAAGGGUGAAACCCCCGCGCUCAACGUGGGAACUGCCUUUGAAACUGGCAAACUGGAGUGUGUGAGAGGAUAGUGGAAUUCCGGGUGUAGGAGUGAAAUCCGUAGAUAUCUGGAGGAACAUCAGUGGCGAAGGCGACUAUCUGGCACAUAACUGACGCUGAGGAGCGAAAGCGUGGGUAGCAAACAGGAUUAGAUACCCCUGUAGUC